AAUAGUAUGAUGCAGAAUGUAGUCAAUGGGCUUCUCAGCCUAUAAAACACUAUACAACUUUCAGCAACGGAUCUCUUGGCUCUCGCAUCGACGAAGAACGCAGCGAAAUGCGAUAAGUAAUGUGAAUUGCAGAAUUCAGUGAAUCAUCGAAUCUUUGAACGCACCUUGCGCUCCUUGGUAUUCCGAGGAGCAUGCCUGUUUGAGUGUCAUUAAAUUCUCAACCUCACCAGUUUUCUGAACUGUUCUUCGAGGCUUGGAUGUGGGGGUUUGUGCAGGCUGCCUCACGGCGGUCUGCUCCCCUGAAAUGCAUUAGCGAGUUCAUACUGAACUUCCGUCUAUUGGUGUGAUAAUUAUCUACGCCGUGGACGAGGAUCAGACUCGCUUCUAACCGUCCGCGAGGACAAUACCCUGACAAUUUGACCUCAAAUCAGGUAGGACUACCCGCUGAACUUAAGCAUAUCAAUAAGCGGAGGAA
rnacentral:rRNA from 1 species